rnacentral:misc_RNA from 1 species
CCAAACUUGGUCAUUUAGAGGAAGUAAAAGUCGUAACAAGGUUUCCGUAGGUGAACCUGCGGAAGGAUCAUUAAAGAAUAAACCUGACUUGAAUUGUCGCUGGCCCUCUCCUUGAGAGGAUAUGUGCACGUUCUUGUCAUCUUUAUAUCUCCACCUGUGCACCUUUUGUAGAUCAAUGGAUGCGAACUUUCUGAGGCUUGAGCAAAGCCUUCAGGUUAUAUGAGGAUCGACGGAUUCGAAAGAUACCGCCUUUCCUUGGAAGCAUUUUCAUUGUCUAUGUCUUUCAUAUACACCAAUGAAUGUAAUAGAAUGUUUAUAAAUGGGUCUUUGUUACCUAUAAUAAAAAGUUUAUACAACUUUCAGCAACGGAUCUCUUGGCUCUCGCAUCGAUGAAGAACGCAGC